CUAAACGUCUCGUCCUCUUUCCCUAACUCAGAGCCGGAAAACUUCAGCACAUUGGCCUCAAAAUCAACGGAAGAUUGUUUGUGACUGUGCUAAGGCGUGUCAGAGCAGGUUUACUGAAGGAACGGCUUCUUCAGGGAAGGACUUCACGGCCACUGCCACACUAUACAGCCACCUGUAGUUGGAGAUGAGGCACCUGGCAUCAGACUGCUCCCUGCUGUCCUAUUGGCUGAUGCUGAGUCUCCUGUCCAAUAGAAGUGGCCUCCCCCUGUCUCGCCCCCAGCUCUGGAGCCGUGCUGUGCGGCAGGGGCAGCAGGAGCUGCUUUUUACCCCAGGAGGGGCUCACUCCUGCUGGUCCGCUGGCUCGCUCGGCUCCUGUCCUGCUGACCGGGUGAAAAGGAGCCACUCGCCGGGGACCUGCCCGCCUCAGAUUCCUGCACACAUUGAAU